AGAGUUUGAUCAUGGCUCAGGACGAACGCUGGCGGCGUGCUUAACACAUGCAAGUCGAGCGGAAAGGCCCUUCGGGGUACUCGAGCGGCGAACGGGUGAGUAACACGUGAGCAACCUGCCCUAGGCUUUGGGAUAACCCUCGGAAACGGGGGCUAAUACCGAAUAAGACCGCUGGUCGCAUGACUGGUGGUGGAAAGUUU
rnacentral:rRNA from 1 species